CUUUUGUUGUGUUCACAACAUUUCACUGAUGACUGCUUUUCUAAUCUCGGCAGACCGGAGAUGUGUAGAGAGCUGUCAGGAGCGUUUGAAUCAGAUUCAAACAUCCUCCCAGUGGCAGAUGGCAGGAGAUGGCCCGAGCCGCAAGUGACGAGAGACCUGCAAAGGGGACAUGCUCUGUGCAUGUGUGUAUGUGAAAAUGAUGAGACUAUGUUCGCCCCUCGUCUGGACUACUGUCUGUUUGGACUAUCUGUUUAACUCGCCCCCUGGAUUAUGUUAGCCGUUGAUUGACCUAUGACUGUUCACUGGACUGCUCUUGUGUCUUGCCCUCAAUAUACUGGUUUGCCGGAGUUCAACCCCGCCUGUGGAGGACCAUGUCUAUGAAUAAAGCUUUGCGUAUGGAU